GAGGGUACAGCUCAAGUGGUAGAGCGCGUGGCUUAGCAUGCACCAGGUCCUGGGUUCAAUCCCCGGUACCUCCU
rnacentral:tRNA from 1 species